AAAUCAUUUAUGCCAAAUAAUGCUACAUUACAACAGCAUAAUUUAAUUUGCAGCUGUUCAUUAUAUUUCCAUUAUCCUUCAGCUUUGGUACUCUCCCAGAAAAGGACCCAUGAGUACCAGGUUUGGGUUACUUCUGGCAUGAUGGGGACUCAAACACAGCCACAGCAGGGAAGCCCCCUGGGCUGGGGCAGCUCUGGCCUCAGCCUCUCCUUGGUUCAUGUUACAUGUCUGUGAAAUGCAGGUUGCUGACUACAGUCAAAUUACCUACAAAACAAGAAGUCAGCUGAGAUAAAGAAUUGGAGAAAAUGGCUCUGGUUGUCUGAGGUGCUCUGCAAUGUUUGUCAUCUGUGGAUUGGCAGCAAUCAGCAAAACUCACAAUAAGCGGGAGAUGAGGCAGUAAAGCCAGACAAGAAAAUGUGCCGAGAUGAAGACACUGGAAAUCUACAGGUAGCAAACCAGGGCCUGCCUCCCUUUGAGCUGAAGCAGUAAGUGCCUGCAGAGCAAUGCCUGCCAAUGGUCAGAUUUGUGCCUUAAAAUCUGGGUCUUAGGAAAAUAGUUUUGGUUUUCUGGGGUCAACUAAAUAAGCCUCGUGAGCUGUCUUCUCUUUUUAGUCAAUGUUAUUCAGAUUUUCAAGUAUUUCUUUUUCUUUAUGGAAAAAAAAUUAAAAAAACCUCAACCUUUGAAACAGUUUUCAAGAAUGAAGAAUCCAAGUAAGAGAGAAUUAACCCCUGGCCCACUA